rnacentral:ncRNA from 2 species
GUCGGACUGCUGGAGAAGGCGCUGAGAGAUAGCGACUAUAUCCACGGGUAGCAGCAGGCGCGAAACUUUCCCACUCGAGACUUUCGGAGGAGGUAAUGACCAGUUCCAUUGGUGCCUUUUGGUACUGUGGAUAGAGGGUACGGUUUUCCACCGUACCGAAACCUAGCAGAGGGCCAGUCUGGUGCCAGCAGCUGCGGUAAUUCCAGCUCUGCGAGUUUGCUCCCAUAUUGUUGCAGUUAAAACGCCCGUAGUCUGAAUUGGCCAGCAAUGGUCGUACGUAUUUUUACGUUCACUGUGAACAAAUCAGGACGCUUAGAGUAUGGCCACAUGAAUGACUCAGCGCAGUAUGAAGUCUUUGUUUUCUUCCGAAAACAAGCUCAAUGAGAGCCAUCGGGGGUAGAUCUAUCUCAUGACGAGUGGUGGAAUACUUUGACUCAUGAGAGAGAAGCUGAGGCGAAGGCGUCUACCUAGAGGGUUUCUGUCGAUCAAGGGCGAGAGUAGGAGUAUCCAACAGGAUUAGAGACCCUGGUAGUUCCUACCUUAAACGAUGCCGACAGGAGUUUGUCAUUUGUUAAUGGCAGAAUCUUUGGAGAAAUCAUAGUUCUUGGGCUCUGGGGGAACUACGACCGCAAGGCUGAAACUUGAAGGAAUUGACGGAAGGGCACACCAGGGGUGGAGCCUGUGGCUUAAUUUGAAUCAACACGGGGAAACUUACCAGGACCAGAUGUUUUUUAUGACUGACAGGCUUCGGGUCUUUCAGGAUAUUGUUUUUGGUGGUGCAUGGCCGUUGGUGGUGCGUGGGUUGACCUGUCUAGCGUUGAUUCAGCUAACGAGCGAGAUUAUCGCCAAUUAUUUACUUUGCCGAAGUCCUUCGGUUAAAGUUCUAAUUGGGACUCCCUGCGAUUUUAGCAGGUGGAAGAGGGUAGCAAUAACAGGUCCGUGAUGCCCUUUAGAUGCUCUGGGCUGCACGCGUGCUACAAUGUUAGGAUCAAUAGGACUGCGAGCCUGAGAGGGUGCGCUACUUCUUAUAAUCCCUAACGUAGUUGGGAUUGACGUUUGUAAUCAGCGU